rnacentral:rRNA from 1 species
GACGAACGCUGGCGGCGUGCCUAAUACAUGCAAGUCGAACGAACCGCGACUAAGUGCUUGCACUAAGUCAAGGUGAGUGGCGAACGGGUGAGUAACACGUGGGUAACCUACCUCAUAGUGGGGGAUAACAGUCGGAAACGACUGCUAAUACCGCAUAGGACAUAGGAUCACAUGAUCCAGUGAGGAAAGGUGGCGCAAGCUAUCGCUAAGAGAUGGACCCGCGGUGCAUUAGCUAGUUGGUAGGGUAAAGGCCUACCAAGGCGAUGAUGCAUAGCCGACCUGAGAGGGUGAUCGGCCGCAUGGGGGCUGAGACGCGGCCCAAACUCCUACGGGAGGCAGCAGUAGGGAAUGGUCCGCAAUAGAGGGAAGUCUGACGGAGCAACGCCGCGUGAGUGAAGAAGGUCUUCGGAUCGUAAAGCUCUGUUGUUAGAGAAGAACAGCGCAUAGAGUAACUGCUAUGCGUGUGACGGUAUCUAACCAGAAAGCCACGGCUAACUACGUG